UACGGAGGGUGCAAGCGUUAUCCGGAUUCACUGGGUUUAAAGGGUGCGUAGGUGGGUUUGUAAGUCAGUGGUGAAAUCUCCAAGCUUAACUUGGAAACUGCCGUUGAUACUGUAAAUCUUGAAUGUUGUGGAGGUGAGCGGAAUAUGUCAUGUAGCGGUGAAAUGCUUAGAUAUGACAUAGAACACCAAUUGCGAAGGCAGCUCACUACACAAAGAUUGACACUGAGGCACGAAAGCGUGGGGAUCAAACAGG
rnacentral:rRNA from 1 species